rnacentral:rRNA from 1 species
UAACCAUCUAGGGGAGCCGUAGGGAAACCGAGUCUUAACUGGGCGUUCAGUCUCUGGAUAUAGACCCGAAACCAGGUGAUCUAGCCAUGGGCAGGUUGAAGGUUGAGUAACAUCAACUGGAGGACCGAACCGACUAAUGUUGAAAAAUUAGCGGAUGACUUGUGGCUAGGGGUGAAAGGCCAAUCAAACCUGGAGAUAGCUGGUUCUCCCCGAAAGCUAUUUAGGUAGCGCCUCGGACGAAUACUACUGGGGGUAGAGCACUGUUAAGGCUAGGGGGUCAUCCCGACUUACCAACCCUUUGCAAACUCCGAAUACCAGUAAGUACUAUCCGGGAGACACACGGCGGGUGCUAACGUCCGUCGUGGAGAGGGAAACAACCCAGACCGCCAGCUAAGGUCCCAAAUUACUACUAAGUGGGAAACGAUGUGGGAAGGCUCAGACAGCCAGGAUGUUGGCUUAGAAGCAGCCAUCAUUUAAAGAAAGCGUAAUAGCUCACUGGUCGAGUCGGCCUGCGCGGAAGAUGUAACGGGGCUAAGUAGUAAACCGAAGCUGCGGCAAUGUGCUUUUGCACAUUGGGUAGGGGAGCGUUCUGUAAGCGGUUGAAGGUGUGUGGUAACGCAUGCUGGACGUAUCAGAAGUGCGAAUGCUGACAUGAGUAACGAUAAAGGGGGUGAAAAACCUCCUCGCCGGAAGACCAAGGGUUCCUGUCCAACGUUAAUCGGGGCAGGGUAAGUCGACCCCUAAGGCGAGGCCGAAAGGCGUAGUCGAUGGGAAACGGGUUAAUAUUCCCGUACUUCUUACAAUUGCGAUGGGGGGACGGAGAAGGCUAGGUGGGCCUGGCGACGGUUGUCCAGGUUCAAGUGCGUAGGCUUAAGAGUUAGGUAAAUCCGGCUCUUUUUAAGGCUGAGACACGACGUCGAGCACCUACGGGUGUGAAGUCAUUGAUGCCAUGCUUCCAGGAAAAGCCUCUAAGCUUCAGAUUGUAAGGAAUCGUACCCCAAACCGACACAGGUGGUCGGGUAGAGAAUACCAAGGCGCUUGAGAGAACUCGGGUGAAGGAACUAGGCAAAAUGGUACCGUAACUUCGGGAGAAGGUACGCUCUUGAUGGUGAAGUCCCUUGCGGAUGGAGCUGACGAGAGUCGCAGAUACCAGGUGGCUGCAACUGUUUAUUAAAAACACAGCACUGUGCAAAAUC